rnacentral:rRNA from 1 species
ACUCCCCAGGCGGGGUACUUAUUGCGUUAACUCCGGCACAGAAGGGGUCGAUACCUCCUACACCUAGUACCCAUCGUUUACGGCCAGGAUUACCGGGGUAUCUAAUCCCGUUCACUCCCCUGGCUUUCGCGCCUCAGCGUCAGACACAGUCCAGAAAGUCGCCUUCGCCACUGGUGUUCCUCCUAAUAUCUACGCAUUUCACCGCUACACUAGGAAUUCCACUUUCCUCUCCUGCACUCAAGAAAUGUAGUUUCCAUCCCAUCACGGGGUUGAGCCCCGAACUUUUAAGACAGACUUACAUUCCUGCCUGCGCGCGCUUUACGCCCAAUAAUUCCGGACAACGCUUGCCACCUACGUAUUACCGCGGCUGCUGGCACGUAGUUAGCCGUGGCUUCCUCCUCAGGUACCGUCAUUACUUAACAUUAUUCACAUUAAGCACAUUCGUCCCUGAAGACAGAGCUUUACGAUCCGAAAACCUUCUUCACUCACGCGGCGUUGCUCCGUCAGACUUUCG